rnacentral:rRNA from 1 species
UACGUAGGGGGCAAGCGUUGUCCGGAUUUAUUGGGCGUAAAGAGCGUGUAGGCGCCAGGUAGGUCCGCUGUGAAAACUCGAGGCUCAACCUCGAGAUGUCGGCGGAAACCAUCUGGCUAGAGUCCGGAAGAGGAGAGUGGAAUUCCUGGUGUAGCGGUGAAAUGCGCAGAUAUCAGGAAGAACACCCGUGGCGAAGGCGGCUU